GACGAACGCUGGCGGCGUGCCUAAUACAUGCAAGUAGAACGCUGAAGGAGGAGCUUGCUUCUCUGGAUGAGUUGCGAACGGGUGAGUAACGCGUAGGUAACCUGCCUGGUAGCGGGGGAUAACUAUUGGAAACGAUAGCUAAUACCGCAUAAUAUUGACUAUUGCAUGAUAGUCAGUUGAAAGGUGCAACUGCACCACUACCAGAUGGACCUGCGUUGUAUUAGCUAGUUGGUGGGGUAACGGCUCACCAAGGCGACGAUACAUAGCCGACCUGAGAGGGUGAUCGGCCAAACUGGGACUGAGACACGGCCCAGACUCCUACGGGAGGCAGCAGUAGGGAAUCUUCGGCAAUGGACGGAAGUCUGACCGAGCAACGCCGCGUGAGUGAAGAAGGUUUUCGGAUCGUAAAGCUCUGUUGUAAGAGAAGAACGAGUGUGAGAGUGGAAAGCUCACACUGUGACGGUAUCUUACCAGAAAGGGACGGCUAACUACGUG
rnacentral:rRNA from 1 species